AAGUUGCAGGGUAUAGACCCGAAACCCGGUGAUCUAGCCAUGGGCAGGUUGAAGGUUGGGUAACACUAACUGGAGGACCGAACCGACUAAUGUUGAAAAAUUAGCGGAUGACUUGUGGCUGGGGGUGAAAGGCCAAUCAAACCGGGAGAUAGCUGGUUCUCCCCGAAAGCUAUUUAGGUAGCGCCUCGUGAAUUCAUCUCCGGGGGUAGAGCACUGUUUCGGCAAGGGGGUCAUCCCGACUUACCAACCCGAUGCAAACUGCGAAUACCGGAGAAUGUUAUCACGGGAGACACACGGCGGGUGCUAACGUCCGUCGUGAAGAGGGAAACAACCCAGACCGCCAGCUAAGGUCCCAAAGUCAUGGUUAAGUGGGAAACGAUGUGGGAAGGCCCAGACAGCCAGGAUGUUGGCUUAGAAGCAGCCAUCAUUUAAAGAAAGCGUAAUAGCUCACUGGUCGAGUCGGCCUGCGCGGAAGAUGUAACGGGGCUAAACCAUGCACCGAAGCUGCGGCAGCGACACUGUGUGUUGUUGGGUAGGGGAGCGUUCUGUAAGCCUGUGAAGGUGUGCUGUGAGGCAUGCUGGAGGUAUCAGAAGUGCGAAUGCUGACAUAAGUAACGAUAAAGCGGGUGAAAAGCCCGCUCGCCGGAAGACCAAGGGUUCCUGUCCAACGUUAAUCGGGGCAGGGUGAGUCGACCCCUAAGGCGAGGCCGAAAGGCGUAGUCGAUGGGAAACAGGUUAAUAUUCCUGUACUUGGUGUUACUGCGAAGGGGGGACGGAGAAGGCUAUGUUGGCCGGGCGACGGUUGUCCCGGUUUAAGCGUGUAGGCUGGUUUUCCAGGCAAAUCCGGAAAAUCAAGGCUGAGGCGUGAUGACGAGGCACUACGGUGCUGAAGCAACAAAUGCCCUGCUUCCAGGAAAAGCCUCUAAGCAUCAGGUAACAUCAAAUCGUACCCCAAACCGACACAGGUGGUCAGGUAGAGAAUACCAAGGCG
rnacentral:rRNA from 1 species